rnacentral:rRNA from 1 species
ACUCCUACGGGAGGCAGCAGUGGGGAAUAUUGCACAAUGGGGAAAGACCCUGAUGCAGCCAUGCCGCGUGUGUGAAGAAGGCCUUCGGGUUGUAAAGCACUUUCAGCGAGGAGGAAAGGUUAGUAGUUAAUACCUGCUAGCUGUGACGUUACUCGCAGAAGAAGCACCGGCUAACUCCGUGCCAGCAGCCGCGGUAAUACGGAGGGUGCGAGCGUUAAUCGGAAUUACUGGGCGUAAAGCGUGCGCAGGCGGUUUGUUAAGCGAGAUGUG